ACCGUUAUCACUUCUUUAUCUCAAUUGACAAUCAAAAUGCCAGCUCCCUGUGAACCGUGCAAAGAUAGCUGCAAAGAUGCCGCUGACUGCAAGGAUAACUGCAGCACUGACAAGUGUGGUUCGGGUGACUGCUCCACUGCUAGUGGUGGUUGCUGUUAAUUUGUGCUAGCAAUUCACCGAAUUGAUUAACCCGUUUGAAGAACUCAAAUAUUCUAGUUUGUAAAUAUGAUUGCAAUAAAUUUUUGGUGCUUCUA